rnacentral:rRNA from 1 species
GCGUAAAGCGUGCGCAGGCGGUCUGCUAAGAGAGGUGUGAAAUCCCCGGGCUUAACCUGGGAACUGCGCUUCUAACUGGUAGGCUUGAGUGUGGCAGAGGGGGGUGGAAUUCCACGUGUAGCAGUGAAAUGCGUAGAGAUGUGGAGGAACACCGAUGGCGAAGGCAGCCCCCUGGGCUAACACUGACGCUCAUGCACGAAAGCGUGGGGAGUAAACAGGAUUAGAUACCCUGGUAGUCCACGCCCUAAACUAUGUCAACUGGUUGUCGGGGAAGCAAUUCCUUGGUAACGAAGCUAACGCGUGAAGUUGACCGCCUGGGGAGUACGGCCGCAAGGUUAAAACUCAAAGGAAUUGACGGGGACCCGCACAAGCGGUGGAUUAUGUGGACUAAUUCGAUGCAACGCGAAAAACCUUACCUACCCUUGACAUGCCAGGAAGCUCGCAGAGAUGUGAGGGUGCCCGAAAGGGAGCCGUAACACAGGUGCGGCAUGGCUGUCGUCAGCUCGUGUCGUGAGAUGUUGGGUUAAGUCCCGCAACGAGCGCAACCCUUGCCAUUAGUUGCUACAUUCAGUUGGGCACUCUAAUGGGACUGCCGGUGACAAACCGGAGGAAGGUGGGGAUGACGUCAAGUCCUCAUGGCCCUUAUGGGUAGGGCUUCACACGUAAUACAAUGGCAGGUACAGAGGGACGCCAACCCGCGAGGGGGAGCCAAUCCCAGAAAGCCUGUCGUAGUCCGGAUUGUAGUCUGCAACUCGACUACAUGAAGCUGGAAUCGCUAGUAAUCGCGGA